GGAGGGAGCGAACGAAAGAGCGGCGGAGGGAGGGGAGACUAACUUCUAGUGCUACCAUAAUUCGCCUAAAGCAGGUGCAGCCACUUUUCCCCCCGCCAGGCGGCCAGCGGCGAGCCGAAGGAGACCACGUGGACCAAACUUUGGGGAAGGAAAAAUGGGAACGUUGGGCUACAGAUCUGCCAAAGCAGAUAGGCCGCAGAGGUUCACACUGGCCUGGGGACCCAGCCUAUGGGACGCUUUAUAACCUCUGGCCUUUUCCAGGAGCCUGGAGUUUACCCGCUUUUCUCGGGCCCACUCAGUCCCCCGUGGGACUGCAUGACUUGUGAGUCACAGUGGAAAGCCCAGGGGAGUCAGAAGACCCCAUCUUGACCUAAUUGAGGGUUUCUCUGUGUAGCCAUGGCUGGCCUGGAACUCACAAAGUAGACCAGGGUGGCCUUGAACCUGAAGAUCAUUUGCCUCCAAAUCCUGGGAUCAAAGCUGUGUGACUUGGUCUUGGAGUGGUUCUCCUAGCACUGAGAGCAGGGCGUAUUUCUGACUGUAUUGUCUGCUUUUGGAACCCAUGAACCCAUUCGUCCUGCUGGAUUGCCUCAUUCAACCUUGAUGGAGGAGGGGGUGCCUGGUCUCACUGCGGCUUGCUAUCCCAUGGCAAGCAUCUUUGGGAUGCUUGCUUGUAUCUGAAGAGAAA